UGGGCGUAAGCGCGCGUAGGUGGUUCAGCAAGUUGGAUGUGAAAUCCCCGGGCUCAACCUGGGAACUGCAUCCAAAACUACUGAGCUAGAGUACGGUAGAGGGUGGUGGAAUUUCCUGUGUAGCGGUGAAAUGCGUAGAUAUAGGAAGGAACACCAGUGGCGAAGGCGACCACCUGGACUGAUACUGACACUGAGGUGCGAAAGCGUGGGGAGCAAACAGGAUUAGAUACCC
rnacentral:rRNA from 1 species